rnacentral:rRNA from 1 species
GACGAACGCUGGCGGCGUGCCUAAUACAUGCAAGUCGAACGCAUUUUCUUUCACCGUAGCUUGCUACACCGAAAGAAAAUGAGUGGCGAACGGGUGAGUAACACGUGGGUAACCUGCCCAUCAGCGGGGGAUAACACUUGGAAACAGGUGCUAAUACCGCAUAAUUCCAUUUACCGCAUGGUAAAUGGAUGAAAGGCGCUUUUGCGUCACUGAUGGAUGGACCCGCGGUGCAUUAGCUAGUUGGUGGGGUAACGGCCUACCAAGGCUGCGUUGCAUAGCCGACCUGAGAGGGUGAUCGGCCACACUGGGACUGAGACACGGCCCAGACUCCUACGGGAGGCAGCAGUAGGGAAUCUUCGGCAAUGGACGCAAGUCUGACCGAGCAACGCCGCGUGAGUGAAGAAGGUUUUCGGAUCGUAAAACUCUGUUGUUAGAGAAGAACAAGGAUGAGAGUGGAAAGUUCAUCCCUUGACGGUAUCUAACCAGAAAGCCACGGCUAACUACGUG